AUACGUAGGGAGCGAGCGUUGUCCGGAAUUACUGGGUGUAAAGGGAGCGUAGGCGGGAGUGCAAGUCAGAUGUGAAAUACAUGGGCUCAACCCAUGGGCUGCAUUUGAAACUGCAUUUCUUGAGUGAAGUAGAGGUAAGCGGAAUUCCUGGUGUAGCGGUGAAAUGCGUAGAUAUCAGGAGGAAUACCGGUGGCGAAGGCGGCUUACUGGGCUUUUACUGACGCUGAGGCUCGAAAGCGUGGGGAGCAAACAGGAUUAGAUACCCUGGUAGUCCACGCUGUAAACGAUGAUUACUAGGUGUGGGGGGACUGACCCCUUCCGUGCCGCAGUUAACACAAUAAGUAAUCCACCUGGGGAGUACGGCCGCAAGGUUGAAACUCAAAUGAAUUGACGGGG
rnacentral:rRNA from 1 species